CCUACGUGCGGCAGCAGUGAGGAAUAUUGGUCAAUGGGCGCGAGCCUGAACCAGCCAAGUCGCGUGAAGGAUGACUGCCCUACGGUUUGUAAACUUCUUUUAUAAAGGAAUAAAGUGAGGCACGUGUGCCUAUUUGUAUGUACUUUCUGAAUAAGGAUCGGCUAACUCCGUGCCAGCAGCCGCGGUAAUACGGAGGAUGCGAGCGUUAUCCAGAUUUAUUGGGUUUAAAGGGAGCGUAGAUGGGUUUUUGAGUCUGUUGUGAAAGUUUGUGGCUCAACCGUAACAUUGAAGUUGAUACUGGAAGUCUUGAGUACGGUUGAGGUAGGCGGAAUGCGUGGUGGAGCGGUGAAAUGCAUAGAUAUCACGAAGAACUCCGAUUGCGAAGGCAGCUUACUAAGCUGCCACUGACAUUGAUGCUCGAAAGUGUGGGUAUCAAACAGGAUUAGAUACCCUGGUAGUC
rnacentral:rRNA from 1 species